CGGGCGGAAGGCAUCACUUUGUCCGGACUCUAAUUCAAAUUGUAUUCAUCCGAUCUUAACCAAACUUGGUCAGCAGUUGCAUCUAGUUGAUAUCUAGGCCAAGUUCGAAUAUGGGUCAUGCCGGGUCAAAAACUAGGUCAUAAGGUCAAUUAGUGCAUUUUCAACGGCGCCACUUUGUCCGGACUCUAAUUCAAAUUGUAUUCAUCCGAUCUUCACCAAACUUGGUCAGUAGUUGCAUCUAGUUGAUAUCUAGGUCAAGUCCGAAUAUGGGUCAUGCUGGGUCAAAAACUAGGUCAAAGGGUCAAUUAGUGCAUUUUACUUUGUCCGGACUCUAAUUCAAAUUGUAUAAAUCUUAUCUUCACCAAACUUGGUCAGUAGUUGCAUCUAGUUGAUAUCUAGGCCAAGUUCGAAUAUGGGUCAUGCCAGGUAAAAAACUAGGUCAUAGGGUCAAUUAGUCCAUUUUCAACAGCGCCACUUUGUCCGGACUCUUAUUCAAAUUGUAUUCAUCCGAUCUUUACCAAACUUGGUCAGUAGUUGCAUCUAGUUGAUAUCUAGGUCAAGUUCGAAUAUGGGUCAUGUCGGGUCAAGAACUAGGUCAUAGGGUCAAUUAGUGAUUUAAAUAUUAUGUUUUAGAGAACAAAUGAGACUAAGUGUACACUUAUUGAUAUCAAUGCAUAUAUAUGAAUAUAUCCGUUAUAUAAGUU